UUUAACUAAAUUAUGAGGGUUUUGGUGAGUUUAUAUUGUGUUGAAAGUGUGGUGACAAUGAAACUAUUUUUAACGAAAUGGACAAAGACAACCCGCCAGCGCGGUCUUGCGGUCCCAGCAUAAUGGUCGUUUAUCUCGGCGUUUCAUCCGUUCAGUUAGCGUCAGAGAAAAGUAUUAAGUUCGACUGUUUGGUAAGGCUGACUCGUGGUUGUAAACAGACAGGACUUGACACGCCGUACACAGCAUACUGUAGUACUGAACUCCUCCACAGAAGUGAAAACAAGAAACCUCAUAUUUAACUGGAUACAUGCAUCGAACUCAUCGCAGCUUUAACUUCUACCAAAUAUCAUUCAGACCUGGGCUCAUCUUAAUAUCAGAUGAACGAAAGGGAUUGCCGCGCGUAUUGUUGUUGUUAUUAUAUUACGGUAUAUCAUCAAAAGCAGAGAAUAUCUUCUCUAAAGCGUUUUACACGUCCAUCUUACCAUUGCUUGUAAGCUGGAUUGGGUAAGAUGGAUCAUCUUUAAAGGCACCAGGAGUUAAGGCAGAUGUGGAGGCACAACGGGUGAUACCAGACACACACCAAGCACAUUAUGUUUGGACAUUCAAUCAUGACAUGAUCCAGGUGGAUGCUGUCCAUUGAGGAAAGAGUUUGUUCAGCGGUUUCUGGAUAGAAUUAAUUCCAAAGAUGGGAAAAAGUGCACAUCCAGACAAGGAGCAAGCAAAAAGACAAGGAACUUGGUGCAGAGAAAAGCUGUGGCCAUUAACCCCCAUAUGAACAGCUUCAUGCAGUCGCUGAUUGAGUUCGAAUGGACGACUUCAAAGUAAAGGCCACUGUGGUCUGUCUGCCACAGUUUAAUGCAUUUAUUUUUAGUGUUAAAUGAAAUUCAAGUAGAAUAUUUAAAACUAUGGGCCAGUGUUGUUUUUACCACAGUGAAAUGUUACCUUUUAGUCGAUGAUGGACUUUAAACUGAAAACUUCAAACUAUGGAACAGUGUUCUAUUUGCCAGAGUUAAAUAUGUUACAGC